UUUUUGGUGACCGAAGUGAAGGUGGUAGAUUUUUAAUCUAUUUAUGACCCGUGUGGUCUCGUGCGA
rnacentral:tRNA from 1 species